AGGGGUAAACCUGAGAAACCCGAAAGGUCGAAGGGAGAAAUUCAUCGCGUUUCGCGGUAGACGGCGAGCGGUCGCGUGACGGAAGAACGUUUACGCUCUUUCGCGCCUUCAGUUCGUCGAAUCUGCCGCGAACGCGUGCACUUUUCUUCUGGUAGGACGUCGCGAUCCGUUGGGCGUCAGUCUACGGCUCGAGGUGGAGCCCGCUCGUCGCCUUCAUCAGCGUACGGACGGACCCUCGCGUCCCGGCUGACUCGCUCGACGGUACACUCGAAAGGUUAGGGGCCGCUCCUCUGCGAGCGUUCGGCUCGCGGCAAGCGCGUCAGACGUGUCGGCGAUCGGACCCAGUGCCGAUUCCGACCUCUGGCGACUGUUGGCCGUCGAAGUUCUCGAACAGACCCGUUGACCGAUCUGCGACGCUAUAGCUUUGGGUACUUUCAGGACCCGUCUUGAAACACGGACCAAGGAGUCUAGCAUGUGCGCGAGUCAUUGGGAAUCGCUAAACCUAAAGGCGCAAUGAAAGUAAAGGUCUUCCUCGCGAAGACCGAGGGAGGACGAGCGGUUUGCCGUUAAAAGUGGGGCCGUUCCGCACUCCCGGGGCGUCUCGUUCUCACCGCGAGAAGAGGCGCACCAAGAGCGUACACGCUGGGACCCGAAAGAUGGUGAACUAUGCCUGGUCAGGACGAAGUCAGGGGAAACCCUGAUGGAGGUCCGUAGCGAUUCU
rnacentral:rRNA from 1 species